AGCUGGGGGGUGGGGGGUAGAGUAUGGAAGGGGCUGUUGGUAGAAGUUCAUCUGCCAUUCUAGAAUGGAAGUAUUUCAUGCUCUCCUCAAUAAUUCUUUGCCACCCUCCUGAGUUUGGGGGUACAACUUCACUGCUCCAGCUCAACUUCAGCUUUGAAGCAGUUUGUGGGCAGAAGGGCUUAUAGUAGACAGCUUAGGUAAGAAUCCAGAGUGUGAGUACUCUUGGACUUGUGAAGAUGUAGGAUUGAUUUUGACCAGGAUUAGGUAUAAUCACCUGGGACCGAAGAAGCAUUCUAAUUUGGCUUUGGUUAUGGAUAUGCCAGAGUUAGCAAACUCUGGGGAAAAGGAGAGGCAAAUUGGCCAAAGGGUUAGCAAACUUGGGGAAAGGAGAGGCAAAUUGGCCAAAGGGCUUUAAGAAGAGAAAGGGAGGGGGCAGGGGAAAGAAGAGGAAAUCAAACUGGCCAGAAAAUUGCAAAAGUCAGUGAUGCAAUCUUGCAACAGCCUUUGCAGUCGGUCAGACUGAGUGAGCCCUGAAGGGCAGGUCAGGGGAAAGGGCUGUCUCAGGGAUCAAAUAUUUUAGUUUUUGAAUUGUUAACAGGAAUCUUUCUUUGGGGGUCUGAAGCAAUUUCUCAGAUGAUUCAGUUUAAAAAGGCAGCAAUAACAACUACCCUUUGCCUUGACUAUUAAUAGUUCAGGCAAGGGCUUGUGUGUGGAGAAUGGUCAAGGUUAUCUAAAUAGCUUAUUUGAAAUUCUACAUUUUAGAAUUCGUCUGUUUGAGUCAAGGUGACCAGGGGCCAAAUAGGAUUGAUUAUUCCUGGAGGAUUGUGUUUCCUGCUUAUUGUUCUUUUAACCUUGUCAGGCAGGAAAAUUCUGUAACAAGGGUUCCUGCCAAGUUUAAUAUCAGUCUUGGCACUUUCUUUGAAUCUUCCUUAUAAUUUCAGAGCAACCUCUGAUAACUGGCAGAAAUGAUUAGUGAGCUUUCCCAGUAUCGGUGAGGGUUCCAGACACAUUGACUUCUGGAAGAGCAUGUGGUGUGUGCCCUGAUAUGAGGGCUGUCACGUGGUUUCCAUUCUGAAGGUUGUAAGUCAGAAGGGUCUGCUGAAAUGUGAUGAGGAAAACUAGAAGAAAAGUCCAGGACCUGAGAGUGAAUACCAGACAGAAGCUGGGGGUGGAAGAGUAUCAAUAUGCAAUAUGCAGACUGAUUUGCCGAGGAGGAUUCAGAUAGGAGAUUCGGACUCCCAGAACAACUAAAAGGAUAACAGGCACUGUCAAAGAUCUAGACAGAAAGGCCAGAAAAGCAGCAGUUUGAACACACAGAAGGACUAUUGCUGGACGCUGGGUACCUAGCUGAAGACUUUGGACUUUAACCUGGAGAUGAUGGAGAGUAUGCAGGAUAAAGUCCAUACCAAAUCCAACGCCUAGCAAAUGGAGAACAAGCCAAAACUAACAUGAUAAAAUGUAGCAGGAAAAAGUGCAAAGAGCUGAAGUGUGGAAUAAGUGGGAGAGGUCUGCCAUGCCCUAUCUAACCUUGCUGCCAUGACCUUUAAGGCCGUGUGUCCUGGUUGGUGCAGCUACAAGAUGGCAGAAAUGCCUAAGUGACGGUAUGGAAGAGAGGAUCCCUCUUCUCACCAUUGUCUUGCAUGUUUCCUUGUGUGAACCACAAAUAAACUUUUGUUAUGUUAAGCUGC